CUAGCCCAUGGCAGCGCCGUUGGUUAAGACAGCCUUUUCGGCUGGGAAAAGGGUGUGGGAUAUCAGAGGGUAGGGUAGAUGCAUGUCGCGGCUUUUUUUUUUGAGGGGGGGGGUCGUUUUGACGCGAAAACAAGCACGGCUUCCUCAGUGAUCUGGCGGUCGAUAGCUGUUUUGCCUUUUCCAGGUGUUUCCUGUGUAUGUCUGAUUGGACUAAUGUGGGUUUUUUGCCGCCCACACUAGGGGGGCUUCAUCCAUCGUUGACCUCUCGUCGCUUGCGCUUUGGUGUGGUGAAGAAAUUUGCGGGGGGGGGGAUAACUGUAUUGGCGUUGUGUUGCGUGUUUUCUUUUUGGGGUUUAGCAGAGGUUGUGUCCGCGUUCCCCCGACGACACGCAUAUGGCGCGGGGCGUGCCGCGCAGUUGCGUUCUGCCGGCUCUUAGACAAGAAAAAGGGGAAGGAGUAAGUGGGGUGGGAGGGGGAGGGUUCUCUGCAUAAAUGCGCGCAUUCAAGCUUCUUCCCCGCAUUUUUGCGUGCUGUUUUCCCCGCAAGGGCAGUGAAGAGGGCUGUAAGCAGAGGAGGUCGGAGGGCUGCUACAGCGCGGUGAACGAGCGAUAAACCUUUACCGACUUCCGCUGCUGUGCGCCGCUCCUUUCUCAAGAUCGGUUCCUCUAAAGCUGCUCCAGUGAGCCCAAGCUUGAUGUAUUCAAGCCAGGUGGUCCACAGAGGCGCCUUCCGCUGAUAGGACAUCGCAGACAGUUUAUUGCAAGGAGCCACAUGCAGCCAUGACCAUUUAUCGAAGGGGUUCCGUGCGCAGAGUCCGCGUGUCGUGUCGCGAUGCAACUCUUUUUGGUGCUACACUGUGAGUACGGCUGAAAACGAAAAACAGUAUUUUUUUCGCGAGUAUCUAGGUAUUGUGACACAGCGCUGAAUAAUAUGGGGUUCCGUUUCCCGGAGUCAAAGUGAAGUGCCCAAAGAAGGUGACAACAGACUCUUUGGACAGGGUUUUCACGGUUGGCUGGUGUCCACAUCUUCAACGUCUCUUACCGAAUGCGCAGUGCCGUUGUUACAGGAAUUGAUGGCUCGAAAACUGCUCCGGAAAGAUUUCAUCUCCUUCGCGGUAGCGUGUAUGGUUAAUGCGGGGAUGAAGGCUCGCAUUGACUGUUAACUGCUCUCUUUAUCAUCUCUUUUCUCACUCCUCUAAUUUCUCUUUUCUCACACAG
rnacentral:misc_RNA from 1 species